AAAACUUGUGUCGGUUUGCAAAUUGAGACGUUUGUUUUUAGCUGUUAAUUUUUUUUUUUUUGGUUCCGUUCUGUUAAUUCACCGCCCGCUUCCACGGAUUUGAUCUGACUCAGUGGCGCAUCAGGCAAUAGUGAAAUAUAUUCCUUAUUCUCUGAAAGAAGCCACCAAGGAAGGAUGGAUUACUCUACGCAGAACACCGAUCGGUACUCGAGGGAACGAGUUCUCCGUAGAUACAGACCAGGAUUUAACAUACUAAAUCAUGCUGAAUCGCACUUCGAGCCGUGGGAUAAUUCAUGGUCUUAAUGUUUCCCGGAUUAUUUUGAGGUGACAAUAGUUAGUGAGUAGUGAGAAGCAUCGGAAUUUUAUUUGUAAUAAUAAAUAAUAAUUUAAAAAUGAA